rnacentral:rRNA from 1 species
AGGGAAUCUUCCACAAUGGACGCAAGUCUGAUGGAGCAACGCCGCGUGAGUGAAGAAGGUUUUCGGACCGUAAAGCUCUGUUGUUGGUGAAGAAGGAUAGAGGUAGUAACUGGCCUUUAUUUGACGGUAAUCAACCAGAAAGUCACGGCUAACUACGUGCCAGCAGCCGCGGUAAUACGUAGGUGGCAAAGCGUUGUCCGGAUUUAUUGGGCG